UUGCCAGACUCCUACGGGAGGCAGCAGUGGGGAAUAUUGCACAAUGGGGGGAACCCUGAUGCAGCGACGCCGCGUGGGUGAAGAAGUCAUUCGUGACGUAAAGCCCUAUCAGCAGGGAAGAAAAUGACGGUACCUGACUAAGAAGCCCCGACUAACUACGUGCCAGCAGCCGCGGUAAUACGUAGGGGGCAAGCGUUAUCCGGAUUUACUGGGUGUAAAGGGAGCGUAGACGGCCAUGCAAGCCAGGGGUGAAAGCCCGGGGCCCAACCCCGGGACUGCCCUUGGAACUGCAUGGCUGGAGUGCGGGAGGGGCAGGCGGAAUUCCUGGUGUAGCGGUGAAAUGCGUAGAUAUCAGGAGGAACACCGGCGGCGAAGGCGGCCUGCUGGACCGCGACUGACGUUGAGGCUCGAAAGCGUGGGGAGCGAACAGGAUUAGAUACCCGAGUA
rnacentral:rRNA from 1 species